GGUUCUCACUCACAAAUCUGCAUGUGAGAGGCCUUAGGAGAGAUUUAGCUUCUUGUAGGAGAAAGCUGAGAUGAGGAAGGGAAGCUUGAGCCCCACUGACCAGGAAUGGCCACUGUUUGUAUUAGGAAGGUCAUGUUUACUAGAAAGUCAGUAAUAGUUAACUGAUCACAGAGAAAAUUCUUAGAAUUUCCAAGAUUACCAAAAAGAUCUACAAGAUGAUGGGCCUCAAAGUUGAAAAUAUGUGUUAUUUAAUGUGACUUAAUAACUGUGGUGAGAAAGGUACAAUCACAGGAGAGGUAAUGGACCUGACUUCUCCAGUUCCCCUCCGAUUCUUCACUUUUUACUGGAUGAAGAAGAGUCUCACAUCCACUCAUGAUGGCUACCAUUUAAAAUAGUCCCAUGUGCUUCUUAUC
rnacentral:lncRNA from 1 species